AAAAAAGGUAAGCUACUAAGAGCGAAUGGUGGAUGCCUUGACUGGUAAAGGCGAUGAAGGACGUACUAGACUGCGAUAAGCUACGGGGAGCUGUCAAGAAGCUUUGAUCCGUAGAUUUCCGAAUGGGGCAACCCAAUGUAUAGAGAUAUACAUUACCUAUAUAGGAGCGAACGAGGGGAAUUGAAACAUCUUAGUACCCUCAGGAAAAGAAAUCAAUAGAGAUUGCGUCAGUAGCGGCGAGCGAAAGCGCAAGAGGGCAAACCCAGUGCUUGCACUGGGGGUUGUAGGACUGCAAUGUGCAAGAGGUGAGUUUAGCAGAACAUUCUGGAAAGUAUAGCCAUAGAGGGUGAUAGUCCCGUAUGCGAAAAACAAACCUUAGCUAGCAGUAUCCUGAGUAGGGCGGGACACGAGAAAUCCUGUCUGAAGCUGGGUCGACCACGAUCCAACCCUAAAUACUAAUACCAGAUCGAUAGUGCACAAGUACCGUGAGGGAAAGGUGAAAAGAACUGAGGUGAUCAGAGUGAAAUAGAACCUGAAACCAUUUGCUUACAAUCAUUCAGAGCCCUAUGUAGCAAUACAGGGUGAUGGACUGCCUUUUGCAUAAUGAGCCUGCGAGUUGUGGUGUCUGGCAAGGUUAAGCAAACGCGAAGCCGUAGCGAAAGCGAGUCUGAAUAGGGCGCUUAGUCAGAUGCUGCAGACCCGAAACGAAGUGAUCUAUCCAUGAGCAAGUUGAAGCUAGUGUAAGAACUAGUGGAGGACUGAACCCAUAGGCGUUGAAAAGCCCCGGGAUGACUUGUGGAUAGGGGUGAAAGGCCAAUCAAACUUCGUGAUAGCUGGUUCUCUCCGAAAUAUAUUUAGGUAUAGCGUUGUGUCGUAAUAUAAGGGGGUAGAGCACUGAAUGGGCUAGGGCAUACACCAAUGUACCAAACCCUAUCAAACUCCGAAUACCUUAUAUGUAAUCACAGCAGUCAGGCGGCGAGUGAUAAAAUCCGUCGUCAAGAGGGAAACAACCCAGACUACCAGCUAAGGUCCCUAAAUCUUACUUAAGUGGAAAACGAUGUGAAGUUACUUAAACAACCAGGAGGUUGGCUUAGAAGCAGCCAUCCUUUAAAGAAAGCGUAAUAGCUCACUGGUCUAGUGAUUUUGCGCGGAAAAUAUAACGGGGCUAAAGUAAGUACCGAAGCUGUAGACUUGCACACAACUUAGAUUAUUUAAGUUUAGAAUAUGAGAAACUAAGUUAUAUGUUUAGUUAUAUUUUUACUGAUUUUUAUAGAGUAAAGAUAGAAAUAAAACUUAGUAAAAUCAGUAAAAAUAUUCUUAGACUAAAGUUAAGUAGUUUAAGUUGUGUGCAAGUGGUAGGAGAGCGUUCUAUUUGCGUCGAAGGUAUACCGGUAAGGAGUGCUGGAGCGAAUAGAAGUGAGCAUGCAGGCAUGAGUAGCGAUAAUUAAUGUGAGAAUCAUUAACGCCGUAAACCCAAGGUUUCCUACGCGAUGCUCGUCAUCGUAGGGUUAGUCGGGUCCUAAGUCGAGUCCGAAAGGGGUAGACGAUGGCAAAUUGGUUAAUAUUCCAAUACCAACAUUAGUGUGCGAUGGAAGGACGCUUAGGGCUAAGGGGGCUAGCGGAUGGAAGUGCU
rnacentral:rRNA from 1 species